UGUCGUCAGCUCGUGUCGUGAGAUGUUCGGUUAAGUCCGCUAACGAGCGCAACCCUCGUCGUAUGUUAUAUGUGUCAUACGAGACUGCCGGUAAAAGCCGGAGGAAGGUGAGGAUGAUGUCAAGUCAGCAUGACCUUUAUAUCCAGGGCUACACACACGCUACAAUGGUCUGUACAAUGGGUAGCCAAGCCGCGAAGCGGAGCCAAUCCUGAAAGCAGGCCUCAGUUCAGAUUGCAGUCUGCAACUCGACUGCAUGAAGCCGGAGUUGCUAGUAACCGCAGGUCAGCAAUACUGCGGUGAAUACGUUCCCGGGUCUU
rnacentral:rRNA from 1 species